rnacentral:tRNA from 1 species
UGAGCCAUAGUGAAAUGGUAUCACACUUAGCUUGCUGAGAACUCAGUUGCCUAAGAGAUAUUGGUUCGAAUCCAGUUGGCUCAA